rnacentral:rRNA from 1 species
AUGCCCGGAGAUCUCAGCCAGUGGAUAAUGAAGCAUUACGACCCAGAGAUUUCGCAGAUAGUCAUUCCAGAAAGGGGGAAGAUUCCUGUAGAUGCCGCAAGUGUCCGUAGGAUAUGGGGUUUUCCCAACAGGGGCAGGAAGCUGCUGUACCUAGACUCUCUGGAUGUUGAUGAGCCAAUCCCGAACUUGGUACCAAGGGUUUUAGUUUGGAAUUCAGAUUUAAUCUCCAGAGUUAUCAAGAAGGACAGGAAGGCUCCAGGAGAAUAUGGCCAAUUGCGGCCAAGGAGCACGACAAACGGUUGA